GGAGCAGAGAUCGUCAAAGCAAGACAUACGAGAGCGGCGGACGGGUGAGUAACGCGUAGGUAACCUACCUUAAGGCUGAGGGAUAACCCAGGGAAACCCGGGAUAAUACCACAUAAUGCGGGGGAGUCACAUGGUCCCCUCGCCAAAGAUUUAUCGGCAUAAGAUGGACCUGCGUCUGAUUAGGCCAGUUGGUGGGUAACGGCCUACCAAAGCAACGAUCAGUAGCCGACCUGAGAGGGUGAUCGGCCACAUUGGAACUGAGACACGGUCCAAACUCCUACGGGAGGCAGGCAGUGGGGAAUAGUUGCACAAUGGGCGCAAGCCUGAUGCAGCAACGCCGCGUGAGCGAAGAAGGUCUUCGGAUCGUAAAGCUCUGUCCUAAGGGACGAAGAAGUGACGGUACCUUAGGAGGAAGCCCCGGCUAACUACGUGCCAGCCGCUGC
rnacentral:rRNA from 1 species